AGAGUUUGAUCCUGGCUCAGGACGAACGCUGGCGGUGUGCUUCACACAUGCAAGUCGAACGAGGUAGCAAUACCUAGUGGCGGACGGGUGAGUAACACGUGGGAAUCUUCCUUUGGGUGGGGGAUAGCAGGCCGAAAGGCCUAUUAAUACCGACUAUAUGUGCAUAUUUCGACAGAGGUAUGCAUGAAAGCAGUAAUGCGCCCGAAGAUGAGCCCGCGCCCGAUUAGCUAGUUGGUAGUGUAACGGACUACCAAGGCUACGAUCGGUAGGUGGUCUGAGAGGAUGAUCACCCACAAUGGGACUGAGACACGGCCCAUACUCCUACGGGAGGCAGCAGUGGGGAAUUUUACGCAAUGGGGGAAACCCUGACGUAGCGACACCGCGUGAGCGAUGAAGCCCCUUGGGGUGUAAAGCUCUGUCGGCUGGGACGAAAAAAAUGACGGUACCAGCAAAGGAAGCAUCGGCUAACUACGUGCCAGCAGCCGCGGUAAGACGUAGGAUGCAAGCGUUGUCCGGAUUCAUUGGGCGUAAAGCGUUCGUAGGUGGUUUAUUAAGUCUGAUGUUAAAGAUCGGGGCUCAACCUCGGGAGUGCAUUGGAUACUGGUAGACUUGAGUAUGGUAGAGGCGAGUGGAAUUCCCAGUGUAGCGGUGAAAUGCGUAGA
rnacentral:rRNA from 1 species